ACUCCUACGGGAGGCAGCAGUGGGGAAUAUUGCACAAUGGGGGGAAACCCUGAUGCAGCCAUGCCGCGUGUGUGAAGAAGGCCUUCGGGUUGUAAAGCACUUUCAGUAGGGGAGGAAGGUAGUGUAGUUAACACCUGCAUUAUUUGACGUUACCUACAGAAGAAAGCACCGGCUAACUCCGUGCCAGCAGCCGCGGUAAUACGGAGGGUGCGAGCGUUAAUCGGAAUUACUGGGCGUAAAGCGCAUGCAGGUGGUUUGUUAAGUCAGAUGUGAAAGCCCGGGGCUCAAGCCUCGGAAUUGCAUUUGAAACUGGCAGACUAGAGUACUGUAGA
rnacentral:rRNA from 1 species